rnacentral:rRNA from 1 species
AGAGUUUGAUCCUGGCUCAGAUUGAACGCUGGCGGCAUGCCUUACACAUGCAAGUCGAACGGCAGCACGGGAGCAAUCCUGGUGGCGAGUGGCGAACGGGUGAGUAAAGUAUCGGAACGUGCCCAGUCGUGGGGGAUAACGUAGCGAAAGCUACGCUAAUACCGCAUACGAUCUAUGGAUGAAAGCGGGGGAUCGCAAGACCUCGCGCGAUUGGAGCGGCCGAUAUCAGAUUAGGUAGUUGGUGGGGUAAAGGCCUACCAAGCCGACGAUCUGUAGCUGGUCUGAGAGGACGACCAGCCACACUGGGACUGAGACACAGCCCAGACUCCUACGGGAGGCAGCAGUGGGGAAUUUUGGACAAUGGGCGCAAGCCUGAUCCAGCAAUGCCGCGUGCAGGAUGAAGGCCUUCGGGUUGUAAACUGCUUUUGUACGGAGCGAAAAGGCUUCCACUAAUACUGGAGGCUCAUGACGGUACCGUAAGAAUAAGCACCGGCUAACUACGUGCCAGCAGCCGCGGUAAUACGUAGGGUGCAAGCGUUAAUCGGAAUUACUGGGCGUAAAGCGUGCGCAGGCGGUCUUGUAAGACAGGUGUGAAAUCCCCGGGCUUAAC